rnacentral:tRNA from 1 species
GAGGUGGCACAAUGGGUCAGUGUGUCUGGCUGUUAACCAGAAUGCUGGUGGUUUGAGCCCAUCCUGGGACA